rnacentral:lncRNA from 1 species
UCACUUCUAAUCAUUUCUUUGUGGAUAUUGUACUCAACAUAGCAUCACGAAGGUGCACCGCUAACCAUCUGAUCUAUUAUCACACUCCAGUUCCACGCAUUUCACUAGUUAGCCCUCUCAUGCAACAUCUCCUUCCUCGUGCUUGAAAAAGAUUACAAUCAAGAAAAGCAUGAAUAAAUAAAAAAAGCCCACUUUGAGUACAGAUCAUCAUUCACCAGAUCUCUAGUUCUCCAUUAAAAAUGUAGUCAUACACUAGCC